CGGAAAGGUGACUGAGUGGUUUAAGGUGUUAGUUUGCUAAACUAAAGUAUUGUUUAAGUACCGUGGGUUCGAAUCCCAUCUUUUCCGA
rnacentral:tRNA from 1 species